rnacentral:rRNA from 1 species
AACGAACGCUGGCGGCAUGCCUAACACAUGCAAGUCGAACGAGACCUUCGGGUCUAGUGGCGCACGGGUGCGUAACGCGUGGGAAUCUGCCCUUGGGUUCGGGAUCACAGUUGGAAACGACUGCUAAUACCGGAUGAUGACUUCGGUCCAAAGAUUUAUCGCCCAGGGAUGAGCCCGCGUCGGAUUAGCUAGUUGGUGAGGUAAGAGCUCACCAAGGUGACGAUCCGUAGCUGGUCUGAGAGGAUGAUCAGCCACACUGGGACUGAGACACGGCCCAGACUCCUACGGGAGGCAGCAGUGGGGAAUAUUGGACAAUGGGCGAAAGCCUGAUCCAGCAAUGCCGCGUGAGUGAUGAAGGCCUUAGGGUUGUAAAGCUCUUUUACCCGGGAUGAUAAUGACAGUACCGGGAGAAUAAGCCCCGGCUAACUCCGUG